AAAUUUAGUAAACUCCGCAACUUUGAAGGGGGGGGGGGGGGCAUCAUGGAUUGGCCUGACAGAAUCUUCAACACCUGUGUCACUGAACUUGACAAGCACAAAGGAAACAUGAUUUCAAAGUCCCUACAGCCAGUGUAGAUUUGAAUGUAUAAGGCUGAACUGAGUGAUGACUUCUCCCUGAGAAAACAAAGGACUUUCCUGAUAAUUAACAUUUGAACUCCCUUGAAUACCCUCCAUCUUAAGUAACGGUGCCAUCAAAGAUGCAUCACAACUAGGAGUUCGCACAUCACACUCCCUCCACUUGGUUUCACUCGGAAUUGCCAAUAGUAUAAUCUGCAUUAAUGCAAGCAAUUUAUUUACAGUCAUGUUUGGUGUCAUUUGAAUUUGUCUCAGGGCGACCGGUACAAUGGUCUCAACCUUAGAGUAGAUUAAAAGAUAAUACAGAUCCUAAGGGUUAAGAAAGCUUUUGAUCACUGCAAUGGGAGUGCCCUUUUCCAGGGUCUUCCACGUAAAUUGCCUUCUGUUCCCAUUGAGGUGUAAACUACCCUGGUCUGGGACCUGACCUAAUCAAAUUCCAAUGGUUAGUUUCUGUCUUCAUCUCGGGGGAUGUUUGUCUUGGUCUGAGGUAUUUAAAGGAUUGCAAUGAAAGGAUCCUGGGGAUUCUGCAGCCAGAAAGCCCAUGGUGUGUCUCUUCACUUCAUACUAUGUAUUUUCUAAGCUCCGGUUCAAAGCCAUGUUAAAGGCUAUCUUGUUUUUUAAGGAAGAAGAAAUGGAAGAGAUGAUUUGGAAGUGAUGCAGCUGACAAGAUGGACUCCAGCAAGAAUCCUCAGCGUUGAUCAAGCAAGUCCACAUCUAACCCAUCUAAAGUUGGAAUCAUCUUGUAAGAAAACUUUGUAAUGGAUGAACAGACCGAUCCUAGGCCUUCUAUGUCCAUUUUCAGACUUAUUUAUGCCCUGCACCUGGACUAAGUGUUUGAAAAGCACUUUAUAUUUUAUUCAGCAGGUAAUGCUCAACCUCGGAAAAUGUGAGUUUUGAUGCCAUUUUGAUGCCAUUUUCUUGCGAUUCUGAACUUUUCAUGUUUUAUGGGAAAGUGUUUUCAUAUAAAAAAAAAAUCACAGUUUUCACACUUCUGUUGUGUUUUUAAAUUAGCAUUUGGAUUUGAAUUAAAAUAAAGCAGAAGCAGAGGCAUUAAUGUUCCUUUAUUUGUUUGCUUAAAUCUAUAGUACUACACUGAAAAAUGUUUCAAUGAGCUAAUGAAAAAUAAACAAUAUUUUAUAUGUCUAUGAAAGCUAUAAAAAAGAAAUUUCUUAAAUAAGAAUUUUUGUUUUGAUUAAAUCUAUAUUUUUUCAUUUGGAUCAAAAAAUAAUUUUUUCUUGUUUUCUUCAAAAAGAAAAAAUGUAUAUUUAGGGCAAGUUACUUUUUUUACUAAGACUCAAGUUGUAAAAUAUAGAUGUAAAUCAUUACCCUGCAUUUUUUUUUUAUUGGAUGAAUAAAAAUUUUUUUCAGUGCACAAAAUCUUUACAUAAACAAUUGUUUACCUACUAAGUGAUGGUAAACAGAAAACUGGAUGUAAGUACAUUUAAUGUGUGCAAUUUCAUUAAUGUAAAUAAA